rnacentral:lncRNA from 10 species
CCAAGUUCUUUGUAUAUAUAAUGUCAUUUGAUCCUCAUGGUGAUUCCAUGAGGUAGAUACCUAUUUUACUGGUAAGAAGGGGUUAGGGAAGUUGACAGAAACCACAUAGCAGGCCAGGGCUGCUGGGAUAUAUGACAAAAACAUAUAGAGUGUUGAUAGAUGAAACUCUUGAGAAUUUGUGUUGGGUUUGGAUUGUGAGAGAUUUUAAAUACAACACAAGGGGCUCAAUUAGAGGACAGAAAGUACAUUGUUGUUUACUGAGUGCCUACUAUAUCCCAGUUAUAUAUCUGAUCUGAUCAAAUUUUUACAACUCCCCUAUUGGAUAAGCAUUAUUAGCCACAUUCUUACUAAAACAACUCAGACAUAUUUUUAUUUUCCUAAAUCACUCUACUAGUAAGUGGCAAAAAGUAAAAAAAGCUGGCUCCUGAACACAUUUUUUAACUGCUAUAUUAUUGCCCAUUUCCUCUUUCUGAUAAAUAUUUUUAAUCCUUUUCCCCCCCUUCUGAUCAACUGAUAAAAAGCUAUCAUUUCUCUCUGCAGAAACAUACAUGGAACUAUAUACCAACAAACUUUUGCUUGUAAUUUAUUUUAUUGCAUGGGAAUUUCAUUUUUUUCAUAUGGACAGACCAUACAAACAAGUCUUACAAAAAAUUAUUUGUCUCAUUUCCUGCCUUCCUCCACAAAAUAUUACUGCUUUCUUCCUUAAAAAAGCAAUAAAUCCAAAUUUUGCAAAUGAAUGAAAAAUGUAAAUUGAAAUUCUGCUGAAAAGUAACAUUUCAGUGAGGAGCCUGCUGUUGUUUGACUUAAAAAAGAAAUAGAAAUGUUGGAGCUGUCUUUGCAUGACAGCAUCAUUUCAGCAAUCUAAUCAUUUCAACAUUGUUUUUUUGGCAACAAGUCCCCAAACUGUGACUCAGAAAGGUAAGUAACAAACCCCAUUAUUGUUUCCAGAACUCACUUUGCCACACAAGGUCAGAUGUGUGUCAAGGAGGCCCAGAAUCCUCUAAGAUUCUUUGAGUUUAAUUUAUUUUGUAUAAUCCCCUUUGUCCUAGAGUUAAUGAGGUUGGCUCUGCAUUCUUGAUGCCAUCUGUGUCAGCAAGGUAAGGAUUAUGAAUCCAGUUCAAUCGUAAGGCUGUCUACACACUAGUAAACCUCAGAAGAAUUCUGCUAUAUUUCCUGGUGUCUACAGAUUUCUGCUUAUGGAGAAACAGACAAGGUUUUGUCACUGUGUACAACAGUCUACAAAAACAUUUUUUCUUGACUGGGAAACAGGAUAAUUUUCCACCUCCUAGUUCUUUCAGAAGAGUGAAAAUUGCUGAAAUGCUAGGAACUUUUUGGCAGUGUCCAUAACGGUGAAUGCCGGGCUUGAAUUCAAACCACUACUUUAUCCAACUUGCCAAAAAUGUCCACCAAGAAUUUCUCCCUGUCAGAUUAUUCUGAGAAAGAGCAUUUUAAUCUGCAAAGUAAUAAUAACAAUAAUGAUAAUAGUGACUAUAUGCCAGAAGUUCCAUUGAGUGCUUUAAGACUUAGUGUCUAGAAUCUGGUGAGCCUCCCAAGAUAAGGGCUUCUGAGUUCUACUCCUGUUUCUUGAUUAAGUAUUAAAAAGGUGGUUCAAGGAGAGGAUAACAGGAAGUUCUCUGAGGUUGAUCAGCUGGAUCUGACACUUGAGCACACCGAUAUAGAAAGCAACCAAGGGGCAAUGUCAUCUGAUGCUUUUUUCUUCACUGUAUCACUUCUCUUACAAUUUAGUGCUUAAGCAACAGCCAUUAAUUUGGCUCAUGAUUUUGUGGAUUGGCGGUUUGGGCUGGGCACAGCUGAUGGUUCUUCUGGUCUGAGCUGCGCUCAGUUGAUCUCAACUGGGCUUGUGCAUGCAUCUGCAUUCCUGCUGGUGGAUUGGCAAGGGCCUGCUGGUUUGUAGUAGCUAGCCUGGUCUUGAUUGUUGGCAUGUCUGAGCUCACUCUCCAUGUUGGUUUCUUAUCCUCCAGGUGGUUAGCCUGGGCUUGUUCACAUGGUGGCUGGCUUCCAUGAAUAGCCGGAGAGCAAGCCUGUGAGAACAAGAACAAGUACUUUUCAAGUAUUUGUUUUUGUUCCUUUGCCCCUGUCCUACUGGUCAAAGCAAGGUACUAGUCAGCCCACAUUCAAGGCAUGGACCCAAACUCCAACUAUUGGGACAGGAAUCAGAUGGGCAUAGGGCAUCUGGUCCAUGAUCAUCCUUUGUUCGUGCUGAUCUCUGAUGAAAUAUCUGAAGAAGGGCUUUACAGAUGUAAUCAAAUUAAGAUGGGGCCAUACUGGAGUAUUAGGCCUAAUUUAAUGACUGGUGUCCUUAUAAGAAGAGGGAAAUUUGUACACACACAGAAGGAGAACACCAUGUGAAGCUGGAGGCAGAGAUUGGAGUGACACGCCUACAAACUGAGGGGCACCAAAGACCACCAGCAACCACCAGAAGCUGGAAGAGGCAUGGCACAGAUGACCACAAGAGCCUCCAGAAGGAACCAACCAUGCUGACGCCUUGAUUUUGGACUUCCAGCCUCUCAAAUUGUGAGCAAAUAAAUUUUUGUUGUUUUAAGCUACCCAGUUGUGGUACACUGUUAUGGUAGCCUGAUAUAGUUUGGCUGUGUCCCCAUGCAAAUCUCAUCUUGAAUUGUAGCUCCCAUAAUUCCCACAUGUUAUGAGAGGGAUCCGGUGGGAGGUAAUUGAAGCAUGGAGAAAGGUCUUUCCCAUGCUGUUCUCAUGAUAGCGAACACAUCUCAUGAGAUCUGAUGGUUUUAUAAAUGGGAGUUUCCCUGUACAUGCUCCCUUUGCCUGCCACCAUGUGAGACGUGACUUUGUUCCUCCUUCACCUUCUGCCAUGAUUGUGAGCCCUCCUCAGCCAUGUAGAACUGUGAUUCCAUUAAACCUCUUUCCUUUAUAAAUU